CCCAAACAAACCAAACCUGCAACAAACCAAACCUGAACCUAAUGUCAUCAAACAACGCAGCUCUCUCUCUCUCUCUCUCUCUCUGUGGCGAUGGCGACCACUGAUUUCCACCGAUCGACGACCUUCGCAAGAUCGACUCUCUCUCUCCGGCAAGUCUCAGAUCUUUUAUAUGGUGAGAAAGCAAUGGAACAGAUUCAAAGGGCUGAAAGGACAAAUGAACUGACAAGAGUUUAUGCAAUGCAGCCAAGGAACUAGUCUCCCCUCCAUCAAUCUAUGGUCCAAGAUGCAGGAAACAUAGAGUUGGCAUGAAAAUUUCCUCAGGUGUGUAUGUGGUUCUCAACUUCCAAUCAACCUUAUUAUUAUGCCAAAGCCUGCCUUUAGGUUUGAUUUCAAUUGGACUUGUUCUUAUGUUUUAUUUCAAUUGCUGCUUUAAACAAAAAAAUGUAUUUGUUUCUUUAUCCACCCUCCCAACACACACAUUUAAAAAAAAAAGAAAAUUAGCAAGCAUAUUAUAAUUUAGGUGGUAAUGAAAAAUAUAUAAGUUAGAUGGUUUAAAAUCCAGGGGUGAGCAUGGUUCGGAUUGGAGUAAAACCAGGACCAAUCCGUUAUCUACGGUUCUUGAAAAAUUGGAACCAAUCUAAUCUGUUUAAA